AUACGGAGGAUGCGAGCGUUAUCCGGAUUUAUUGGGUUUAAAGGGAGCGUAGGUGGGAUAUUAAGUCAGCUGUGAAAGUUUGGGGCUCAACCUUAAAAUUGCAGUUGAUACUGGUUUCCUUGAGUACGGUAUAGGUGGGCGGAAUUCGUGGUGUAGCGGUGAAAUGCUUAGAUAUCACGAAGAACUCCGAUCGCGAAGGCAGCUCACCGGGCCGGAACUGACACUGAUGCUCGAAAGUGCGGGUAUCAAACAGGAUUUGAUACCCUGGUAGUCCGCACAGUAAACGAUGAAUACUCGCUGUUUGCGAUACACUGUAAGCGGCCAAGCGAAAGCGUUAAGUAUUCCACCUGGGGAGUACGCCGGUAACGGUGAAACUCAAAGGAAUUGACGGGG
rnacentral:rRNA from 1 species